rnacentral:tRNA from 2 species
GCGGAUGUAGUUCAAUGGUAGAAUGAGAGCUUCCCAAGCUCUAGACGCGGGUUCGAUUCCCGUCAUCCGCUCCA